CCCACCCCUGGCUCUUCAGAAUUCACAGGGGAACCCGGCAGUGUCUCAGAGGCCUGCAGGUGGGGGAAGCCCUGUUCUUGGCACACAUCCCAUAAAGGUUACCAAGCAACCUUGUGACUUCCCUGCUACUUACUGUCAUGGAAUUCCUGAGGUGAUUUUUUUUUCCUUUCCCUUCAGUUUGGAAGGGCUCAGCCCAAGCUGUGGCAGACUAACCACCGAGGGCCUCUAAAAGGGACAGUAAGCUCAUCUUCCAGUUUGGAAGCAAGACAGAAGAUUCCCCAAGAACCAGAAAGCCAGCAGGGCUGGGAAUGAAAGCCAUGGCCUUGUAUUACAUGUUAGGACACACAAAUUUGUGGAUACCAUCAGAGUUGAUAAAAAAUCUGACAUGAGCUAGAGAAGUCCCUUGGAUGCUUUGGCUGCUGACGUGGGUGACUUGACUUGGGGAAAGAAGAGAUACAGGAAGGCUUUGAAGUAGACAGUUGAUCCUUUCACCUUGGGGACACCUUAAGACUUUGUGUGGCAAAGGGGGAGCAUUAGUCUGACUGACCAGAAAAACCUCUGGAUGCUACAGCUUUGUUCUUUAUUCUGCUAUUUGUGGUAACUGUACAUCUUGGGCAUAUGUUCCUAAUCCUCCAAUUAACAGGAGUAAGCUGGGGAAAUAUGGAUAUUCUUGUGGUGGUUAAUAAAUAUUCUCGGCUACCUGGUCCUUAUAACAACUGAGGACCUACUCAGUCUAUGAAGGAGGGUAAGGACAUCAUAAACUAUAUGGUGGGAGUGCAAGGAAUUGCCAUUUGUAUGGAUAAUGGAAUUCAGUGUCUAAAUAUAACCUUUCAAG